AUCGCGGUGGUCGGGGUGCCGUUCGACACCGGCGUGACCUACCGGCCGGGUGCCCGGUUCGGUCCGGCCGCGAUCC
rnacentral:tRNA from 1 species